AAAGAAAAUGUUCCAAACAUGGCUAAAACAAAAAUUUAUUGCUUAAGUACCAAAGAGGCUAUAAUAGCAUAUUUGGUAUCAAAGUAAAGGUAAAUGAAUGGAGAAUGUGAAAAUGUAAACAUCUUUCUAGUUAAAUACAAGAUACAAAUUAUAAUCUAAAUAAUGACACUCAGAAAAAAAAAUGGAUGCCAACUUUAGAUUUUUUGAGACCUAAAUUUAGAUUUUGUUCUUUGUAUUACUGUUGAAACAGCAUAUUUAGACUAUUUACAGCAUUUUCAAAAAGAAAUGUGAUAAAACAGUCAAUAAAAGAUGAUGAAUCAUUGAUUAUAUUAUUAUUUUUACCUGGUUUUUUUAGUCAGAAAAAAAAUGAAAAUUAUUGCACUUUUCAUUACUACCAAUAACAAUAGAUACCAGUACUAAAUCUAUCAACCAAAUGCACUCAAAUAGGGGAAGGUAGGGUGAAAUGUCACAAGGGUAAGUUGUCACAAACACUGUAUCAGUACAAUGUGAUGCGCUAUCAAAAAUGUGAAACUACAGCUGAGAUGUUUACGGAAACAUUUACAAAUAGUUAUAAAAUGAAGUCGAUACCUUUUCGCAUUUUAAAAUUAUCAUGAUUCAUUGUUUUUGACUGUUCGGAAAGUGGAAUUUUAUUUUUGUGUAAUUUUGUUGAAAAAUCACUUAUAAUUUUGAGAUGAUUGUCUAACAUUACACUGUUUCAUAUCUCUGUGUAUUAGUUACACAUUGAAAUUAGUUUUUUUCAAAAAGCUCGACCCAAUAAAAUGUUAUUAAAAUAAAUGUUCUGAAAAUUGUUGUGGGGCAAGUUGUCACACAGGUUGGGGUAAUUUGUCACAGUUGUGACAACUUGCCCCAAUGAAGAUUAA
rnacentral:sRNA from 1 species